GUGGGGAAUUUUGGACAAUGGGCGCAAGCCUGAUCCAGCAAUGCCGCGUGCAGGAAGAAGGCCUUCGGGUUGUAAACUGCUUUUGUACGGAACGAAACGGUCCGGGCUAAUACCCUGGGCUAAUGACGGUACCGUAAGAAUAAGCACCGGCUAACUACGUGCCAGCAGCCGCGGUAAUACGUAGGGUGCAAGCGUUAAUCGGAAUUACUGGGCGUAAAGCGUGCGCAGGCGGUUUUGUAAGACAGGCGUGAAAUCCCCGGGCUCAACCUGGGAAUUGCGCUUGUGACUGCAAGGCUGGAGUGCGGCAGAGGGGGAUGGAAUUCCGCGUGUAGCAGUGAAAUGCGUAGAUAUGCGGAGGAACACCGAUGGCGAAGGCAAUCCCCUGGGCCUGCACUGACGCUCAUGCACGAAAGCGUGGGGAGCAAACAGGAUUAGAUACCCGGGUAGUCC
rnacentral:rRNA from 1 species